UAUAAUGUUCAUUUUAUAGGAUGAAAGUUAAAGCUCAGAGAGGUUAAGGUUCAUGUCACACAGCAGGUAAGCAGUGAGGCUGGGAUUUGAAGCCAGGAGUCCUUUCCCAGCCCUCCACCAUUCCAGGCUGUGUGGGAAAACACCACUGGCUCGUCAGAUGGCUUCCUGGCCAGCAAGUCCCUAGGAACAAAUGUCAGAGAGAGUCUGGCACAGGUGGGUCAUGUGUGUGACCUCAUAUAGCAUUUCUCAUGUUCCUCUGUCUCAUAUUACUGUCAUAUCAUAAAUAGAGGCAGGAUGACUCUUCCUUUCCAUCCACCCACCCUGGAGCCACCCUCACCUGACAUCCCACCAGAGCUUCCCCCAGAUCAGCCCUCUGUUUCUCAUUUCAUUACCUGAAAGGGCUUGGCAUUGGCCCCACACUGGGAGAUGAUCCCAUAGAUACAGCAAGCAUCUACUCCAAGUGAAGAAGCCAUGAGCAAGUGGAGACAGCUACGGGAAAGGUCACACAGGCUACGAGAGAAGGGAGCCUCUAGGCCUCAGGAAACAUAAAUCUGCACGGAUGGUCUGGUAAUUGCUCCAAGGAGCAAGUUAGUGGGGAAAGCUCCAGGGGCCCAGGUCUGGGUUCCCACAGCCAUCUGACUGUGGGAACAUUCUAUGAAACUGGAGCAAAUUGACUGCAGAGGGUCAAUGGCUCGAACACCCAGCCUCCUGGAACACAGCCAUGCAUCUUGAUCUGGAGGGGUUCCUGCUUGGAGGGGCUCAGGCAGGGCUCCUCACAUCUGCAGAUGCUCAGCUGGAAGGCAGUCUGGGGCUCCAGCCUUUUAGAAGCUGAGUCUGGGGUGCCAGGGAGGAUAAAGAAAGAAACAAUUGGAGAGAUUCUUGCUCUAUGUGUCUUUCCUUCCCCAUGGCCUGGAGUCCCAUAUUCUGAAAUAGUGCCAUAACGGAGAAGGGAACACAGCACUGGAUGGCAGUCAGGAGGCUGUCCUGAUCCCAGUUCCCACUCUACUUUGACACUGGGCAAAUCCCUUCACCUCUCUGGGCCUCUCUUUUCUGCUGCAUAAAAUGGGAAUGCUGUUAACCUGUCAUAGAUGCCUCAGGAAUGGAAGAUGAUCC
rnacentral:lncRNA from 1 species